rfam:Triticum aestivum genome assembly, contig: Triticum_aestivum_CS42_TGACv1_scaffold_526421_6DL
AAAAUACUCCCUCCGUCCCAAAAUAAGUGACUCAAGUUUGUAUUAAGUUUGUACUAAAGUUAGUACAAAGUUGAGUCACUUAUUUUGGGACGGAGGGAGUAAUAA